rnacentral:rRNA from 1 species
AAGGGGUGAGUAACACGUGAGAAAUCUGCCCUUUAGACUGGGAUAACUACUGGAAACGGUUUGUAAUACCGGAUGUCUUCUUUGUACCGCAUGGUACUUAGAGAAAAGCUUAGAUGCACUAAAGGAUGAUCUCGCGGCGUAUUAGUUAGUUGGUGAGAUAGUGGCUCACCAAGACAAUGAUACGUAGCCGGCCUGAGAGGGUGACCGGCCACACUGGGACUGAGACACGGCCCAGACUCCUACGGGAGGCAGCAGUAGGGAAUCAUCGGCAAUGGGGGAAACCCUGACCGUGCAAUGCCGCGUGAGUGAUGAAGGCCUUCGGGUUGUAAAACUCUGUUGUGAAGGAAGAACAACCUAGAUAGAAUCUAGGUCUGACGGUACUUCACCAGAAAGCCAUGGCUAACUACGUGCCAGCAGCCGCGGUAAUACGUAGAUGGCAAGCGUUAUCCGGAUUUAUUGGGCGUAAAGGGUGCUCAGCUGGUUUAUUAAGUUUGUAGUUAAAAUUCGAAGCUCAACUUCGAAGUGCUGCGAAAACUGGUAAACUUGAGUACAGAAGAGGGUAGUGGAAUUCCAUGUGAAGCGGUAAAAUGCGUAGAUAUAUGGAGGAACACCAGUGGCGAAGGCGGCUACCUGGUCUGUAACUGACGGUCAAGCACGAAAGCGUGGGGAGCAAAUAGGAUUAGAUACCCUAGUAGUCCACGCCGUAAACGAUGAAUACUAAGUGUGGAGAAAUUCAGUGCUACAGUAACGCAAUAAG